rnacentral:lncRNA from 1 species
UUUCAAGUGCCGGAGACAGAUGCUUUGGACAGGCUUAGGUUUAUCCCUUCCUGCAACAAAAGUUAUAGGUCCAAUGGGUCCCUCCAUCUAAGAUGGCUUAUUCUAAAAUAAAACUUCUUUCUAAGGCCUGUUUUCAUUGUUCUCAAUAUUCCAGCGUGAAGCCAUCUAGCUGAAUCAAAAUGGAGCUGCUGCCUGCCUACAGAUUUUUUAUGUGGGUGAACAUUAUUGUUUUUUAGAGAGUGAAAACUAGAUCCUGGGACAGCACUGGACACACACAGAUGUUUGAGAACUACUGUUCCCAAUCUAUGAAUGAGGCUGUAACUUUUCAACCUGCAAAUUCACUUCAGAUAUUUAAGAAGAACCUUCUAAGUGAAAAUAUGAAAGUGAACAAAAGCUUUCCUUUUUAAAUACACUUGUGUAACCAAUUGUUUGGAACAAGUCACCAAUGAUGCCUUACUUCAGUUCACUAUUCUUUCAAAUAAAAGAUGUAUUUGUGAAAUUAUAAUCAUUCAAAUAGCCAUUUUGAGGGCUAUGUUUUUUUUUUUUUUCAGUCACAAAUCUAAGUGACCCUGAGAAUUGUAAAAAGAUACUAUGGAAAUAUCAAUAGUGUUUUUAUGUUUUGAGCCAAUGAUUUUAAACUUCCACUUGCUAAAAAAAAUCAAGAAAGAUGAAGUAUGAAAACAAGCACGUAGAUCUUUCUUUUGUAUUACAUGUGUGUAACUAAGAAGCCAGUACUCAGAUAAAUGGCUACAAUCUUAAUAGCUCGCUCCUGGAAAGCCAAAACUGCAUUUCUCUUUUGUCAGGACUGGAAGCAUGUAAAUUGAUUGCCCAAUUAAGGAAAGGUUGACUGAAGGACACCAAAUCUCUGUAAAAGACAGCCCGCUUCCUGAAGCCUCGUCUAGUGGAGGGAGGUUCUGACAUACUGUUUUGUUCAGGCUGGUCCUCCACCCCAAGAAUGGAGCUCUGCUUCCUACCCUACCUACCUAAGGACUACUCUCCAAAGGAGUACAAGAACCCAAGCCAGUUCACUGCAAGGCAGGUUAUGCUGGAUGCCUUUUUGGGCAGGAUGUAAGGCCUGUUUCCUACCUUAUUUCCAUUUUGUGUGGUGGUCUGAUAUAAGGCUUUGCUUGUGGGCAGUGUUGUAGCACUGGUUAUAGCUGAAACUGCCCCAUGAGGACAGGCUCCUUCAUCAGUUAACCCACUUACCAUAGAAGUUGGACCCUCCUUACCAAAUUUGUCUCUAGUAAACGGUGUUAUGAGGUUCUAGCCUAGAUUUAAUAAAUUUACAUCGUAUGCUUCCCCA